CACGCAGGCGGUCCGUUAAAUAAGGAGUGAAAGCCCUGGGCUCAACCCGGGAAUUGCUCUUUAGACUGGCGGACUUGAAUCCGGAAGAGGGCAGUGGAAUUCCAAGUGUAGAGGUGAAAUUCGUAGAUAUUUGGAAGAACACCAGUGGCGAAGGCGACUGCCUGGUCCGGCAUUGACGCUCAUGUGCGAAAGCGUGGGGAGCAAACAGGAUUAGAUACCCUGGUAGUCCACGCCGUAAACGAUGAGUGCUAGUUGUUGGGGUGCAUGCACUUCAGUGACGCAGCUAACGCAUUAAGCACUCCGCCUGGGGAGUACGGCCGCAAGGUUAAA
rnacentral:rRNA from 1 species